rnacentral:rRNA from 1 species
UGGGGAAUAUUGCGCAAUGGGGGGAACCCUGACGCAGCCAUGCGCGUGAAUGAAGAAGGCCUUCGGGUUGUAAAGUUCUUUCGGUAUUGAGGAAGGUUGAUGUGUUAAUAGCACAUCAAAUUGACGUUAAAUACAGAAGAAGCACCGGCUAACUCCGUGCCAGCAGCCGCGGUAAUACGGAGGGUGCGAGCGUUAAUCGGAAUAACUGGGCGUAAAGGGCAAGCAGGCGGUUAUUUAAGUGAGGUGUGAAAGCCCCGGGCUUAACCUGGGAAUUGCAUUUCAGACUGGGUAACUAGAGUACUUUAGGGAGGGGUAGAAUUCCACGUGUAGCGGUGAAAUGCGUAGAGAUGUGGAGGAAUACCGAAGGCGAAGCNAGCCCCUUGGGAAUGUACUGACGCUCAUGUGCGAAAGCGUGGGGAGCAAACAGGAUUAGAUACCCUGGUAGUCCACGCUGUAAACGCUGUCGAUUUGGGGGUUGGGGUUUAACUCUGGCGCCCGUAGCUAACGUGAUAAAUCGACCGCCUGGGGAGUACGGCCGCAAGUU